UUUCAUGUGCUACAAAUAUCUUCAUUAAUCCAAAUCAUAAAGAACAUAUCAUUUUUCCAAGUUCAGCAAUGGAGGAUUAUUCAAAAUCCGCUUCAAAAACCAGUUUGUUAUGCGAUUUUUGCAGCUCAAACGGUGCUGUUUUGUACUGUAGUGCUGAUUCUGCUAAGCUAUGUCUGUUCUGUGACCUAGAAGUUCACUCUGCUAAUGCUUUGUCUCUCAGUCAUUUCAGGUCACUUAACUGUGAUAACUGUGGAGCUCAACCAGCUUCAGUUCAAUGCUCAAGCACUGGUAAUAAUAGUAAUAUUAACGUUUUUUGUCAAGAUUGUGAAUCUCAUUCUGUGUCGUUUGUUAACCAAGCUCCUGUGUACGGGUUCACGGGUUGUCCUGAUGUAACUGAGCUUGGUGAGAUAUUUGGAUUUGAGUUAGAUUCUGAGUCUUGUUUGCAUGAUCAAGAACUGGUAAACAUGCAAGAUUCGGUGGUUCCGAGUGGGGUUUCGUCUGUUUUUUUGAGGUCUGGUGGGAAGUGUAGGCGAGAGAUGUGUAAGCAGUUGGUGGAGUUGGGUAAGAGGGAUAUGGUGGCGGAUAUGGGGCCGGAGACACCGCCGAGUAGAUGUGCGCAGAGCGGAAAAUUUGAGGGUAUGGAAAUGGAGAAUGGAAACGAGGAAGGUUUUUUUGACCGGAAAAUGGCGUUUACUUCGUUGCUUAUGUUUCCGGAUCUUGAAGUUAGGGGAGAUUGUGACGGUGUAGCUGAUGGAGAUCUUUUAUGGGACUGUAAUCCUUCAUAUCAGGGUGCUCAGGUAUGGGAUUUUGAAUAUGAAAAAACAAAACAUUGUCCAGAACCUAAUUCACAAGAGGUGGGCCGUGAUACAACUGAUCCCGGUUUUAAAAUCAAGAAUCAUCGCAGCCGUAAAACAGCUGCCUUCAAUAUAAUAGAAGUGUUGGAUGAUGCAAAUUCAAUGAGCUGCUCUACAACACUAUCUGAUGAUGCACUUUUAAGAAAUAGCUCCUCCAAUCAACAAUUUUCGAAGAAUGCAAAAGCCGAAGAAAGUACAUCAUCAGAAUCCCUACUGAUUGAGGCCAAAAUAAGCGAUAGCCCGAGACUUGUUCAGGUGGUGGAGAACCCUUAUCAUGAUACGACCGAUAUGGAAAUUUUUGCACAAAACAGAGGCAAUGCAAUGUUGCGUUACAUGGAGAAGAAAAAAAACAGAAGAUAUGAUAAGCACAUACGCUACGAAUCAAGGAAGGCGAGAGCUGAUACAAGGGAGCGGGUAAAAGGUCGGUUUGUGAAGGCAAGUGAAAAUUAGUGAAAGUUCUUAAUUAAUGUUCAUAUGUUUAUUAUUGUGAUAGUAAAGUCUCAUAACAAUAUUUGUCCUGUAUUCACUAUAUGUAAUAUUUGCAACAAAUCUGUAAACAAGAAUGUAUUUCCCUGGAUUAGUACAAAUGUACUCCUUGAUCUUUAGUAAAGGCGGAAUUAGCCAAAAAGUAUUUUUUUUCCGGAAAGUCUCUACAGUCGUUUUAUACCUCGUUGGGAGUCGCUCUCUCAGACUUCUAGUAGUCUCUGACUUGGUCUUCGAAUUUUAAAUUUCAGGCCCAUCCUAUAGUUUCCCUCGCUUUCGGGCUGGCCCUUCUACUUGACUAAAUAGUACGCCAUUCGCGCACAUGGUGAUGAUUGGCUAUGAGAUACUCAACCUCAUUUUUAGUAAGUAGGUUCGCCUACAACAUCCGGUGAUGCCCUCGCGGGCAUGUUCCUCUCUAGACUCUAGGUCAAUAUGGUCUAAUUGAAGUCAACUGACUAACAUGGAAUACAGGGUGACUUUUCACCAAGCUGAUCGCUUUGGUCUAAAGGCUAAUUGUAUAUACCUAUUUAGUUGCUGAUAUAAGAAACAAGCAUAAAUCAGGGCAGUUAAAUUCAUAGUUACUAAUGGUUUAUGGUUUUACAAACUCUAUAGAAUGGCUUGCUGUGAAAACUAAUUCAGUUUACUUGCUUAAAAACUAAGUAACAAAAAAGGUCUAUUCUUCCAAAAACUGUGGAAGUAGAAGGAUGGGAAAGACAAAACUUCAAUAAAUAUUUAUAAAAGUAACUUAAUUAUUUAUGGAGGUGAAGUGAAGGAGUGACUGGAGAAGUUUGACCUUGGAAAAAGAGUAGAAUACAUAUCCCCUAAUUUCUCCAUUCUUGUACAGUUUUGCAGUGUAAUGUGUAAAUGCAGCAUGGACAAGUAUAAAUGUUUCAUCACCUACUCAACUUUAAUUCAGUUUCAAGUUGAAUCUCAUUCUUAUAGAUAAUCAUUUUUUUAUAGAUUUAAUCUUGAUCUUGCAACACUACACGUGCAAGGAUCACAACUGGCUAUUCUUUAUUUAGCUCAAUUUUACUCUAGAAUUGAAUCAUUUUAUUUAUUAUAUGGAUAUAGAAAUAAAAAAAUAAAACUUAUUCCAAACACGUUCAGAAUGGUCUGAAAUCUGAAUCAUACUCUUCACUCAUGACACUACUAAAAGCAGAGAUGGUUUUAUACUCCUCAAGAUUAGGCCAUAACCUGUCUCUGAUAAUAAACUAUAAAAUUUGCAUAGCAGGAAUAUGCUUAUUAUUAUAAUCUUUUGUAAGUAAUGUAACCCGAUUAUAUUAUACAACUUGUCGAAUAAUACGUUUUAAUAGUAUUUCAUUUUCAUUUUCAAAAAUACUUAAAAAAAACUCUUAAAUCCAUAUAUUUUUAUAAAAAAUGGAGUUUCUCUAUUUUUUAUUUCGGUAUUUUUGUUUCCGUGCUAUGUAUUAACUCCGUAUUCAGGACCUGCUAAACUUGAAAACUAAGCAAAGAGUAUGCAAAACCUCAGAUAAUUACUCUAGUUGACAGUUGGACAGGUACAAUUGGCUGAAGAACAUGGACUAUUGAACUAAUUAUUCAUGAACCAGGCUGUCCUGUAACAAGGUGGUGAAUUCAUUCUGCAGAGAGUCAGCUGGCUAUAUUUAUUACAAACCCUCUGCGUGAUUGGUGGCACAUCACAGGCUUCUGCAUCUAACUCCAAACCAAUCUGCAUACUCAAUUUGAAUCCUAAAUUCUAUUUUUACAAUUUAUUCUUUGUAAAAAAUAUAAGAAUGGUUUUGUCGUUUCUCGUUUCGUUAUUUUUUUAUUACAAAGUUUCUGUUUACGUGCUACA